UUCUGGGCACGCCCGGGGGGGACUUCCACAAUGGACGCAAGUCUGAUGGAGCAACGCCGCGUGAGUGAAGAAGGGUUUCGGCUCGUAAAGCUCUGUUGUUAAAGAAGAACGUGGGUGAGAGUAACUGUUCACCCAGUGACGGUAUUUAACCAGAAAGCCACGGCUAACUACGUGCCAGCAGCCGCGGUAAUACGUAGGUGGCAAGCGUUAUCCGGAUUUAUUGGGCGUAAAGCGAGCGCAGGCGGUCUUUUAAGUCUAAUGUGAAAGCCUUCGGCUCAACCGAAGAAGUGCAUUGGAAACUGGGAGACUUGAGUGCAGAAGAGGACAGUGGAACUCCAUGUGUAGCGGUGAAAUGCGUAGAUAUAUGGAAGAACACCAGUGGCGAAGGCGGCUGUCUGGUCUGUAACUGACGCUGAGGCUCGAAAGCAUGGGUAGCGAACAGGAUUAGAUACCCUGGUAGUCCAUGCCGUAAACGAUGAUUACUAAGUGUUGGAGGGUUUCCGCCCUUCAGUGCUGCAGCUAACGCAUUAAGUAAUCCGCCUGGGGAGUACGACCGCAAGGUUGAAACUCAAAAGAAUUGACGGGGGCCCGCACAAGCGGUGGAGCAUGUGGUUUAAUUCGAAGCUACGCGAAGAACCUUACCAGGUCUUGACAUCUUCUGCCAACCUAAGAGAUUAGGCGUUCCCUUCGGGGACAGAAUGACAGGUGGUGCAUGGUGUCU
rnacentral:rRNA from 1 species